GGUUGCGUCAUUCAGAGGUGGUGACAGCUAAUGGUUACAACGCUGAGCUAACUUUAUCCCUGUAGCAUCCUGGGAAUGUGAGCACAGAGUGGAAACAGAAAGCGGGAAGCAGUGCCACAUCACCUUGGACUCAUUCGACACCUCAGAGGAGGCACCUCUUCUCUGAAAACAAAUGCAGAAUCUGCAGCAGUAAGAACCCGCACGGAUCUGAUUUUUACUGAUUUUUUCAGACUUCCUUCAGCUCUACAACGAUCUGUGUUGAAGCCAACAGAAAGUUGAGAGGAUCAACUUGUACAGAUAAAUGGAAUACAUAUUGAUUUCAGGUUCAAAAAGAAUGCAGACAAGGUAAAGUCCCCCAUGUUUCGAGAUUCUAACUCUGCCUCUGGAGGUCAUUGACUUUUUGUGUGAACAGGGGAAAUCCUAAACCUCCCUUCUCUUCCUGUAACAUCAUGACCGCCUGAAGCCACCAGAGGUGUGUCACAUUUGCAGUGUCACCCCCGUUUCCUCGACCCUACACCCCCAACCUCAUCCCGGACUGAGAGUCGGAAAAGGGCCUGGCACGCUAAGAGACAGGAAUCGGCAGCCUGAAAAUUAAUAAAGAUAAGCCGCAAAGGAAGAGACAUGAAGAUUUCCUGGGAGUUUUGCACAUUACUGCACAAAUGCAGCACAAAGUUUGUAGUACAUCUGGCUGGAGGUAUCUCAACCUUCCUGACACUGUAUCACACAACAUCAGGGGGAAAUGUAAGGAGAAAGCCAAACCCAGGACAAGGAAGAAUGAUACACGAAGAAAUGAAGAACUCUUAGUAAUACCGAUCAAAGAACUGUGCAGCAUGUACACAACCUGAAUAAUGACCUAACACUGGACAUGUGUGCCCUAUGAUUGGAACAAGGCCACAUAUGGAGAGCAAGAGAACAAAGUUGAGCAUUCAUGUUGACUCUGUGUUAUGAUUUGGGGUUGUUUGGUUUUUGGUUUAUGGGUUUUUGUUGGUCUUAUUCACAGUUCAAGUUUUGAAUCAUGUUUCUGUUUAUUUUCCUGGUCAGGCUUUAGUUU